rnacentral:rRNA from 1 species
GCUGGCGGCGUGCCUAAUACAUGCAAGUCGAGCGCAGGAAACAAGUAGAUCCCUUCGGGGUGACGCUUGUGGAAUGAGCGGCGGACGGGUGAGUAACACGUGGGCAACCUACCUUGUAGACUGGGAUAACUCCGGGAAACCGGAGCUAAUACGGGAUGAUCAUUUGAAUCGCAUGAUUGAAAUGUAAAAGUGGGGAGUAAUCCUCACACUAUGAGAUGGGCCCGCGGCGCAUUAGCUAGUUGGUAAGGUAAUGGCUUACCAAGGCAACGAUGCGUAGCCGACCUGAGAGGGUGAUCGGCCACACUGGAACUGAGACACGGUCCAGACUCCUACGGGAGGCAGCAGUAGGGAAUCAUCCGCAAUGGGCGAAAGCCUGACGGUGCAACGCCGCGUGAACGAUGAAGGUUUUCGGAUCGUAAAGUUCUGUUGUAAGGGAAGAACAAGUAUCGUUCGAAUAGGGCGGUACCUUGACGGUACCUAACCAGAAAGCCACGGCUAACUACGUG